rnacentral:lncRNA from 1 species
UUUCAUUCCUUAGAUAUUGUUGGGCAACAAUUCACAGAAUCCCUGAGUACUGCCCAUCCUGGCCAGGGUUUCUGGGAGUUGAAAUCCAACAAUGUCUAGGGAUCCAACUUUAGAAACGCAUGGACUAGAGACUGAACUAUCUGUUCCUGCUGCUGUGAUUCCCUGUAUUAUUUUCCCCUUCCUCCCAGAAAUAAGCUUAGAAUCAUAGAAUCAUAGAAUAGUAGAGUUGGAAGAGACCUCAUGGGCCAUUCAGUCCAACCCCCUGCCAAGAAGCAGGAAAUCACAUUCAAAGUAUUCCCGACAGAUGGCCAUCCAGCCUCUGCUUAAAAGCCUCCAAAGAAGGAGCCUCCACCACAGCCCGGGGGAGAGAGUUCCACUGCCGAACAGCUCUCACUGUGAGGAAGUUCUUCCUAAUGUUCAGGUGGAAUCUCCUUUCCUGUAAACCCAUUGCUCCGAGUCCUAGUUUCAAGGGCAGCAGAAAACAUGCCUGCACCUUCUUCCUUAUGACACCCUUUCACAUAUUUAUACAUGGCUGUCAUGUCUCCCCGCAGCCUUCCCUUCUGCAGGCUAAACAUACCCAGUUCUUUAAGAUGCUCCUCAUAGGGCAUGGUCUCCAGACUUUUGAUCAUUUUAGAUGCCCUCCUUUGGACACCUUCCAACUUGUCAAUAUCUUUUUUGAACUGUGGUGCCCAGAACUGGACACAAUAUUCCAGGUGAGGUCAAAGCAAAGCAGAAUACAAAGGCACCAUGACUUCCCUCACCUCACAAAAGACCCAGGCAGGCAUGAACUAAACUGUAUAAGCCCAUUAAGCUGCACCUCUCAUAUUUUUGUCCUAAUCUCAAGAAUCAUCACAGCACUCAGCCAACAUCUGGAAAUCUCCUGGAACCUAUGGCACUAAGAGUAAGCCCAUCAGCCACCCUUUGUAGCCUCAACCAGAUGGCAGACAGCUUCAAAUGCAACCAAUGACAAUUUAUUAAAUUUCCCACCAGACUGCUCAGUGACUGAGAUUCACAGACCUUUAAACCUUCAGUGAAUCAGCAGCUAGGAAUGGAUGAAGCCCUUCACCCAAUGAAACCUCAGAUUCUGGAACUGCACCAAUAAUCUGUGUUUAUGUUUUUAUGUUUCCAAAUGUGUGUAAAUUUCCUAUUGUUGCGGAAUUUCAUUUGGACGUGGGUGAAGAAAGCAGACUGACAGCAGAAGUUGUCUUCAAGAUAGUUUACUUUUGGCCAAGAGCAGGUGACAAUGUUAGCUAAUGCCCAGAAAACGCAAUCCCACCCCUUGCCUGUAGUGGCUUUCCAAUUUAUACAAUUUUACAGAAGCAUGCGCAGAAAGCUAACUGACAAUGGAAUUUGCUGAUUAUUAUAAUCCUUUUGGACAUGCGUAGUUGCCUUGUAACUUAUAUAACUCAUUACUCAUCACAUCAGGUGAAGUGUCCAUAGUUUGCUCCACGUAUGCAAUAUCCUCAGGAAACAUGUUCAUAGUUAUUUAUUUAUUUAUUUAUUUAUUUAUUUACAGUAUUUAUAUUCCGCCCUUCUCACCCUGAAGGGGACUCAGGGCGGAUCACAUUAUGUACAUAUAGGGCAAACAUUCAAUGCCCAUAAACACAUCGAACUGAGACAGAGACAACAUCCCACGUAUGCAUCAUCCAGCAAGCCAAAUCAUUACUGCAGUUUGCAUGACCUUAUAUUGUGAGCAAAGAGCAAAUGUCAGGCAGAACAUGUCCUGUCAACACUUUCAUGGAAAAACAAGAUUUUUGAGUAAGGGUCAUCUAAGUAAGGGAUUUUUAGGGUUUUUAAAUAAAAUAUUCAAGAGUAGCUGCAUUACUAUAUAAUACCCAUGUUUAUACAUCAACAGUGCAUGUUUAUUGGAUCAAAUUGGAGCCGUAAGAACUUGAGAUUUUGGACAACAGCUGGGAGUGAUGACAACUGCAGUCCAAAACAUCUAGACAUGCCCUCCUUUUCCUGGCUCAAACAUCCUCCUGAAGGCUCAGUGUGUAUAAUUUAUUCAGACCUAAUCUUGUACAGUUUCCUCUUGCAUGCUUCUGUCAAAGGCCAUAUAUACGGGCAGCAUGGGCAUAUUACUAACAUUUAAAAUAAGCAGGGUUUUAGAUACUAUUACUACUGCUGCUGCUGCUGCUAUUAUUACUUGUGACAUCUUGUCAUUUAUCACUUAUAGCAAUCCUAGGGGAAAUUAUCAUGAAGUUUUCUCAUCCAAAUUUGUUUAGAAGGGUUGGUCAUUGCCUUCCUCCAUGAUUGAGGCAGUUUGGUGUCACCAAGGGCACCCAGUUUAUUUCCAUGGCCAAGCAAGGAUUCAGUGCCUGGGUCCUAGUCCAACACUCAAACCAUCAUACCAGACUAGAUAUCAAAUACUACUUACUAUAAGCUACUAAACAUUUAUACACUGAUUCAUAGUGAAGCUCCAUAACUACAAAUGGAGGCAUAUAGUGAUUUUAAUUCAAUAAUAUCAGAGUUCAUGUCAGAUUUGGAUGACCACCUGAACUGUGCUGUACAUCUAUCAAGUAAUAAACUGCAAAAAUCAAGGAAACUAGACCUUCAUCAAUACCUCCAUUAGAAAUUAUUUGUUGAACACUGAGUAGGAAUUCAGGUUUCAGAGGAUAUGGACUAUCUUCUGCACAAUUCACAAUGCGCAAAACUAUUUGAUUUCUAGGCCAGUGGAUAGUGUGUCUAUUUCUUCUUAAAAGAACUAGCCUAUAAAAGUGAACAAAGGAGAAGAGAGAAGAUGCAA